GACGAACGCUGACGGCGUGCUUAAAACAUGCAAGUCGAACGAAGCGGGGACGGGUUAGUAAAACGUGGAUAACCUCCUAUACGACUGGGAUAACUUCGGGAAACCGGCGCUAAACCGGGUGCUUAUCGAUGAAUACGCGCUGCAUUAGCUAGUUGGGAAGGUAACGGCUUCCCAAGGCAACGCUGCAUAGCCGAACUGAGAGGGUGAUCGGCCACACGGGAACGGAGACACGGUCCAGACUCCUGCGGGAGGCAGCAGUAGGGAAUCGUCCGCAAUGGGCGAAAGCCUGACGGAGCAACGCCGCGUGAGUGAUGAAGGUCUUUGGAUCGUAAAACGCUGUUAUUAGGGAAGCGGUACCGAAUCAGAAAGCCACGGCUAACUACGUGACAGCAGCCGCGGUAAUAC
rnacentral:rRNA from 1 species